UACGUAGGGGGCAAGCGUUGUCCGGAAUUACUGGGCGUAAAGAGCUCGUAGGUGGUUUGUCGCGUUGUUCGUGAAAACUCACAACUCAAUUGUGGGCGUGCGGGCGAUACGGGCAGACUUGAGUACUGCAGGGGAGACUGGAAUUCCUGGUGUAGCGGUGGAAUGCGCAGAUAUCAGGAGGAACACCGGUGGCGAAGGCGGGUCUCUGGGCAGUAACUGACGCUGAGGAGCGAAAGCGUGGGGAGCGAACAGG
rnacentral:rRNA from 1 species